UACGUAGGGGGCUAGCGUUGUCCGGAAUCAUUGGGCGUAAAGCGCGUGUAGGCGGUCCGGUAAGUCCGCUGUGAAAGUCGGGGGCUCAACCCUCGGAUGCCGGUGGAUACUGUCGGGCUUGAGUACGGAAGAGGCGAGUGGAACUCCUGGUGUAGCGGUGGAAUGCGCAGAUAUCAGGAAGAACACCAACGGCGAAGGCAGCUCGCUGGGACGGUACUGACGCUGAGACGCGAAAGCGUGGGGAGCGAACAGG
rnacentral:rRNA from 1 species